rnacentral:rRNA from 1 species
GAUGAACGCUGGCGGCGUGCCUAAUACAUGCAAGUCGAGCGAACAGACGAGGAGCUUGCUCCUCUGACGUUAGCGGCGGACGGGUGAGUAACACGUGGAUAACCUACCUAUAAGACUGGGAUAACUUCGGGAAACCGGAGCUAAUACCGGAUAAUAUAUUGAACCGCAUGGUUCAAUAGUGAAAGACGGUUUUGCUGUCACUUAUAGAUGGAUCCGCGCCGCAUUAGCUAGUUGGUAAGGUAACGGCUUACCAAGGCAACGAUGCGUAGCCGACCUGAGAGGGUGAUCGGCCACACUGGAACUGAGACACGGUCCAGACUCCUACGGGAGGCAGCAGUAGGGAAUCUUCCGCAAUGGGCGAAAGCCUGACGGAGCAACGCCGCGUGAGUGAUGAAGGUCUUCGGAUCGUAAAACUCUGUUAUUAGGGAAGAACAAAUGUGUAAGUAACUAUGCACGUCCUGACGGUACCUAAUCAGAAAGCCGCGGCUAACUACGUG